rnacentral:tRNA from 1 species
GACUCAGUAAUCUGGGGAUAUUUUUCUCGCCUUGGGUGCGUGAGGUCCCGGGUUCAAAUCCCGGCUGAGCCC